CCAUACCAGUUCAGAGGAUUCUCUCAAGAGCUGCUCCUCAACACAGUGUGUGGUUAGCCAUCGACUUCUGGGGCAGCUUAUCUCCCCAGAUACAGAAAUGUAACUGCACUGAAGUCCGUCCUCCAGGGCAAGGAGCACAGCCUGAUCAAGGUCCAUGAUGCCCUGGCCUAUAUUCUGGAGAAUGUUAAAAUCUGUCUAUCCUGACCCUACAUGUGUAUGUGAAAUUUUAACUGAAAAAGGCACAACAGAAUCUUCU